rnacentral:lncRNA from 1 species
UCACUCGAGUUUCAAGAGUUGUUGAGUCAAAAUAAAAAAAAAAAGGAAGAAGAAAGAAUCAUUUGCUCAUGGCUCUAGCAAGCAGCAAUUUCAUGCUAACAAACAGGCUAUCUUUGCCCAUAUCCACUGCCAAAUCCCACUCACAAAGAGCUGUGAAAAUAAUGUAAAGUUGAUUUUGUUCAAUUCUGAUUUUCAUUUGAUUGUUAAUGAAAUUAUCUUUACAAGAUUAUAGUUAUAUAUAUAUAUAUAUAUAUAUAUUAAAUCAGAAAAUGCUGUAAAGCCCCAAGACCAUCAGGCAGCAAGGGAAGGUAUCCACAAAUCAAUAAUGUGCUCACAGUUGCAGAUAAGAAGAAAAUGACAUUGAUGCCAACGGAGAGCAAUGCUGCUGCUGUUAAUGGCUUGAAGCCGAAGGUUGAAGAAGAUAACAAAAACAUUGAUGCUGAUGAUCAUAAUUCCACAGCACAGACGACUCAAACUAAUGAUUAAUUAUAUUUGCUUGUUUAAGAAUGGUGUCUGCGACCGUCCAAAAUCUCGGAUCGAUUUGUUGUUGUAGUCCGUGAGAUAUGUUUAUUUGUCUAUUGUCUAUACAUACAUAUACAUAUGUAUAGCACUAAGUGAUAUGAUGUUCAUUUUAUUCACCCAAACGCUUUAUAUUUGGUUAGUUUUUUAUUCCAAUAUAUU